AAGAUUUUAAGUUAAUAUAAACUAAAAACCUUCAAAGUUUUAAAUAAAAUUUCCAAAUUUUAAAUCUUA
rnacentral:tRNA from 1 species